rnacentral:rRNA from 1 species
UACAGAGGGUGCAAGCGUUAAUCGGAAUUACUGGGCGUAAAGGGCGUGUAGGCGGUUCGUUAAGUCUGGCGUGAAAGCUCUCGGCUAAACCGGGAGAGGUCGUUGGAUACUGGCGGACUAGAGGACGGUAGAGGCGUGUGGAAUUCCGGGUGUAGUGGUGAAAUGCGUAGAGAUCCGGAGGAACACCAGUGGCGAAGGCGACACGCUGGGCCGUACCUGACGCUAAAGCGCGACAGCAUGGGGAGCAAACGGG